AUUGAACGCUGGCGGCAUGCUUUACACAUGCAAGUCGAACGGUAACAGGCCUUCGGGCGCCGACGAGUGGCGAACGGGUGAGUAAUGCAUCGGAACGUGCCCAGUCGUGGGGGAUAACGCAGCGAAAGCUGUGCUAAUACCGCAUACGAUCUAUGGAUGAAAGCGGGGGACCGUAAGGCCUCGCGCGAUUGGGGCGGCCGAUGUCAGAUUAGGUAGUUGGUGGGGUAAAGGCUCACCAAGCCAACGAUCUGUAGCUGGUCUGAGAGGACGACCAGCCACACUGGAACUGAGACACGGCCCAGACUCCUACGGGAGGCAGCAGUGGGGAAUUUUGGACAAUGGGCGCAAGCCUGAUCCAGCAAUGCCGCGUGCAGGAAGAAGGCCUUCGGGUUGUAAACUGCUUUUGUACGGAACGAAACGGCGAGCUCUAAUACAGUUUGCUAAUGACGGUACCGUAAGAAUAAGCACCGGCUAACUACGUGCCAGCAGCCGCAGUAAUAC
rnacentral:rRNA from 1 species